CAGUGAGUAGGUCGGCUUUCCGAACGACCCGUCUUGAAACACGGACCAAGGAGUCUAAUUAGGCAUCGAGUCGAUCGGUCUUGAAUAGGCCAGAAUGGGGUGGACUUAAAAAUCCAUUCCGACUGAAGGCGUAGAGAAAUCAAAUCGUGUGAUCGCCGCGGCAAUACCAGCCUAGGCGCGCAACAUGUGCCUGUUCGUAUGGCAACUGUUAGCAAUAACUUGCCGAGCGGAGCAAAGAGAUGCCUGAUUGGUACCCGAAAGAUGGUGAACUAUGCUUGGGCAAAUUGAAGCCAGAGGAAACUCUGGUGGAGGAUUGUAGCGAUUCUGACGUGCAAAUCGAUCGUCAGACCUGAGUAUAGGGGCGAAAGACUAAUCGAACCAUCUAGUAGCUGGUUCCCUCCGAAGUUUCCCUCAGGAUAGCUAGCGCUCGUUGUUAAAUUAGUUUCAUCUGGUAAAGCGAAUGAUUAGAGGAAUUGGGAGCGAAACGCCCUCAACCUAUUCUCAAACUUUAAAUGGGUGAGAUGUGCGACAUGCUUAAGUGAUGCCGCAAAUUGGAAUAAAUUGAGCGCUAAGUGGGCCAUUUUUGGUAAGCAGAACUGGCGAUGCGGGAUGAACCGAAAGCAAAGUUAAAGUUGCCGAUAAUAGUGACGGAAAUUUUAGUCACUCGCUACACUCAUGAGAUCCCAUAAAAGGUGUGACCCGCUGAAGACAGCAAGGAUGUGGCCAUGGAAGUCGGAAUCAUCUAAGGAGUGUGUAACAACUCACUUGCCGAAGCGCGUCGCCCUGAAAAUGGAAGCAGCUCGAGUGUUGAACUUAUACUUUGCCGUUGGAAUAGAGUUUCUAGCUAAAACAAUUAGUAGAUUCCAACGUGUAGGAGGGUUGUGUUGGUGGCGUUGAAGGGUAUGAGGGAGUGAUCCUGCCUGGAGCCGCCAAUAGUACAGAUCUUGGUGGUAGUAGCAAAUACUCAAGUGAGACCCUUGAGGGCCAAUGUGGAGAAGGGUUCCAUGCUAACAGCAAUUGAACAUGGGUCAGUCGGUCCUAAGAGAAUGGCGAAAGCUAUUUCUGAAUCAAAGGCGGUGUUAAAAUGCG
rnacentral:rRNA from 1 species